CGCGUAGGCGGUUUUCUUAGUUAGGCGUGAAAUUCCUGGGCUCAACCUGGGGGCUGCGCUUAAUACAGGGAGACUAGAGUGUGAGAGAGGGUUGUGGAAUUCCCAGUGUAGAGGUGAAAUUCGUAGAUAUUGGGAAGAACACCGGUGGCGAAGGCGGCAACCUGGCUCAUUACUGACGCUGAGGCGCGAAAGCGUGGGGAGCAAACA
rnacentral:rRNA from 1 species